rnacentral:rRNA from 1 species
UACGGAGGAUCCAAGCGUUAUCCGGAAUCAUUGGGUUUAAAGGGUCCGUAGGCGGUUUUGUAAGUCAGUGGUGAAAGCCCAUCGCUCAACGGUGGAACGGCCAUUGAUACUGCAAGACUUGAAUUAUUAGGAAGUAACUAGAAUAUGUAGUGUAGCGGUGAAAUGCUUAGAGAUUACAUGGAAUACCAAUGCGAAGGCAGGUACUACUAAUGGAUUGACGCUGAUGGACGAAAAGCGUGGGGAGCGAACAGG